UGGGGAAUUUUGGACAAUGGGCGCAAGCCUGAUCCAGCAAUGCCGCGUGCAGGAUGAAGGCCUUCGGGUUGUAAACUGCUUUUGUACGGAACGAAAAAGCUCUCUCUAAUACAGGGGGUGAAUGACGGUACCCUGGGAAUAAGCACCGGCUAACUCCGUGCCAGCAGCCGCGGUAAUACGGAGGGUGCAAGCGUUAUCCGGAUUCACUGGGUUUAAAGGGUGCGUAGGUGGGCAGAUAAGUCAGUGGUGAAAUCUUCCGGCUUAACCGGGAAACUGCCGUUGAUACUAUUUGUCUUGAAUAUUGCGGAGGUAAGCGGAAUAUGUCAUGUAGCGGUGAAAUGCUUAGAUAUGACAUAGAACACCAGUUGCGAAGGCAGCUUACUACAUAUAAAUUGACGCUGAGGCACGAAAGCGUGGGGAUCAAACA
rnacentral:rRNA from 1 species